GUUGUAUAGUCAAGUAAUUAAGUGCAUGUGGUGGAUGCCUUGGCAGUCAGAGGCGAUGAAAGACGUGAUAGCCUGCGAAAAGCUCCGGGGAGGCGGCAAAUAUCCUUUGAUCCGGAGAUGUCUGAAUGGGGGAACCCACCUACUUUAAGGUAGGUAUUGCAACAUGAAUACAUAGUGUUGCAAGGCGAACGAGGGGAAGUGAAACAUCUCAGUACCCUUAGGAAAAGAAAUCAAUU
rnacentral:rRNA from 1 species